GACGAACGCUGGCGGCGUGCCUAAUACAUGCAGGUAGAACGCACAGUUUAUACCGUAGCUUGCUACACCAUAGACUGUGAGUUGCGAACGGGUGAGUAACGCGUAGGUAACCUGCCUGGUAGCGGGGGAUAACUAUUGGAAACGAUAGCUAAUACCGCAUAAUAUUCAUUAUUGCAUGAUAAUUAAUUGAAAGGUGCAAUUGCACCACUACCAGAUGGACCUGCGUUGUAUUAGCUAGUAGGUGAGGUAACGGCUCACCUAGGCGACGAUACAUAGCCGACCGUGGAGGGGGAUCGGCCACACUGGGACUGGGACCCCGCCCAGACUCCUACGGGAGGCAGCAGGAGGGAAUCUUCGGCAAUGGACGAAAGUCUGACCGAGCAACGCCGCGUGAGUGAAGAAGGUUUUCGGGUCGUAAAGAUCUGUUGUAAGAGAAGAACGGGUGUGAGAGUGGAAAGUUCACACUGUGACGGUAUCUUACCAGAAAGGGACGGCUAACUACGUG
rnacentral:rRNA from 1 species